rnacentral:lncRNA from 1 species
UGGCCGAUGGUCCAUCUUUUGGGUAGGAUAAAGAGGUUGAAGAAAGAGAGAUUACGACCAGACUAUGAGAGUCAUAAGCCGGAGUAAGCUUGGUGCUACCUCUUUGUUUUCUUUGCUUUUAUUAUUUGCUUAUGAAGAAUUGUGAUUGAGAGAAGUAUUGUUGAAAUUGUGAUUAGAAUAUUGUGGAAUAUGACUUUGAAUUGACCAUUUUGGAGAAAAUCU